rnacentral:rRNA from 1 species
CGGCGGUAAAGGAUGGGCAUGCGUGACAUUAGCUAGUUGGUGAGGUAACGGCUCACCAAGGCUACGAUGUCUAGGGGUUCUGAGAGGAAGAUCCCCCACACUGGUACUGAGACACGGACCAGACUCCUACGGGAGGCAGCAGUGAGGAAUAUUGGUCAAUGGGCGAGAGCCUGAACCAGCCAUCCCGCGUGCAGGAAGAAUGCCCUAUGGGUUGUAAACUGCUUUUUCGCAUGAAGAACACCCCUGACGUGUCAGGGGCUGACGGUAAUGCGUGAAUAAGCACCGGCUAACUCCGUGCCAGCAGCCGCGGUAAUACGGAGGGUGCAAGCGUUAUCCGGAUUUAUUGGGUUUAAAGGGUGCGUAGGCGGCGAAUUAAGUCAGUGGUGAAAUCCUGCAGCUCAACUGUAGAACAGCCAUUGAAACUGAUUUGCUUGAGUAAUCUUGAGGUAGGCGGAAUGUGUAGUGUAGCGGUGAAAUGCUUAGAUAUUACACAGAACACCGAUUGCGAAGGCAGCUUACUAAGGAUUUACUGACGCUGAUGCACGAAAGCGUGGGGAUCAAACAGGAUUAGAUACCCUGGUAGUCCACGCCGUAAACGAUGAUAACUCGCUGUUGGCGAUACACAGUCAGCGGCUUAGCGAAAGCG